rnacentral:rRNA from 1 species
UACGUAGGGGGCUAGCGUUGUCCGGAAUCAUUGGGCGUAAAGAGCGUGUAGGCGGCCCGGUAAGUCCGCUGUGAAAGUCGGGGGCUCAACCCUCGAAUGCCGGUGGAUACUGUCGGGCUAGAGUGCGGAAGAGGCGAGUGGAAUUCCUGGUGUAGCGGUGAAAUGCGCAGAUAUCAGGAGGAACACCGAUUGCGAAGGCAGCUCGCUGGGACGUUACUGACGCUGAGGAGCGAAAGCGUGGGGAGCGAACAGG